GGGGGUGUACAGGUUUCGACAGAGGAUUAAAGGAUUUAACAGCGAGCAGGGGUGGGCUGGCCCCUAUAUCAAGCCCAACGCAAAUAAAUGCAAACGACAAAAUUGCAGGUUUCUUCGCCGCUGACAACUACACCUUCGCAGGUGCAGUAGCAGCGUAAAGUCAUAUCCCUCCCAACGGGGGGUUAUGCGGGGUAGAGGGUAGAAAGCGAUCUUGUAACCCUUCGCCCGUCAACAGAAGCAGACUAGAAAGGCCUCGUUUUACUGGUUAGAGAGUAAUAAAUUAACUAGAGUAGGAGAAGUGGAAAGGGUCUACCUGUCGCCACCAUCCGAAGGAACAGGACAAGAAGACUACGCUCGUAGACGUUAUUUUUGUAGAUUCUUUGGACGCGGGUUCGAUUCCCGCCACCUCCACCA
rnacentral:tmRNA from 2 species